rnacentral:rRNA from 1 species
CUUUGACUCGAGGCGGAUAGCUGAGUAACACGUGGCUAACCUACCCUGUGGAUGGGGAUAACCUCGCUAACGUGAGGCUAAUACCCAAUAGCAGAGGAGUGUGGAAAACAUUCCUCUGUGAAAUGUUCCGACGCCACAGGAUGGGGCCGCAGCUGAUUGGGUUGUUGGUGAGGUAACGGCUCACCAAGCCGAUAAUCAGUAGUAGACGUGAGAGCGUUAGCUACCAGUCGUGUUCUGAGACAAGAACACGGACCCUACGGGGUGCAGCAGGCACGAAACCUUUACAAUGCACGAAAGUGCGAUAAGGGGACUCCGAGUGUAGUCUUCCCACAAGGAAGGCUACUUUUCUGCACUGUAAGGAGGUGCCGGAACAAGGGGUGGGCAAUACUGCUGCCAGCCGCCGCGGUAAUAGCAGAACCCCAAGUGGUAGUCGUUAUUAUUGGGCUUAAAGUGUUCGUAGCCUGUCAUGUAAGUCCGCUGUGAAACCCACGCGCUCAACGUGUGGAUGUGCAGCGGAUACUGCAUGACUAGGGACCGGACGGCGUCGAGGCUAUUCCAGGAGUAGGAGUGAAAUCCAAAAAUUCCUGGAGGAGCACCUGUGGCGAAAGCGCUCGACGAGUACGGAUCCGACGGUGAGGAACGAAAGCCGGGGGAGCAAAGGGGAUUAGAUACCCUCGUAGUCCCGGCCGUAAACAAUGUGCGUUUGAUGUCGGCUAACCUCCGUGGUUAGCCGGUGCCGAA